rnacentral:rRNA from 1 species
CCUACGGGGGGCAGCAGUGGGGAAUAUUGGGCAAUGGGCGCAAGCCUGACCCAGCAACGCCGCGUGAAGGAAUAAGGCUUUCGGGUUGUAAACUUCUUUUCUCAGGGACGAAGCAAGUGACGGUACCUGAGGAAUAAGCCACGGCUAAAUACGUGCCAGCAGCCGCGGUAAUACGUAGGUGGCAAGCGAUAUCCGGAUUUACUGGGGGUAAAGGGCGUGGAGGCGGGAAGGCAAGUUAGAUGUGAAAACCAUGGGCUCAACCUGUGGACUGCAUUUGAAACUGCUUUUCUUGAGUACGGGAGAGGCAGACGGAAUGCGUAGUGUAGCGGUGAAAUGCGUAGAUAUUAGGAGGAACACCAGUGGCGAAGGCGGUAUGCUGGAGAGCAACUGACGCUCAUGCGCGAAAGCGUGGGUAGCGAACAGGAUUAGAUACCCGGGUAGUC